rnacentral:rRNA from 1 species
GACUCUCGGCAACGGAUAUCUCGGCUCUCGCAUCGAUGAAGAACGUAGCGAAAUGCGAUACUUGGUGUGAAUUGCAGAAUCCCGUGAAUCAUCGAGUCUUUGAACGCAARUUGCGCCCGAAGCCUUUCGGCCGAGGGCACGUCUGCCUGGGUGUCACGC